GUCCCUGUAGCGCAAUAGAUAGCGCGUUGAACUUCUAAUUCAAAGGUUGUGGUUUCAAACCUCACCUGGGAAG
rnacentral:tRNA from 1 species